rnacentral:tRNA from 1 species
CGGGCAGUAUCUCAGUGAUAGAGCUUCCGCUUUGUAUGCCGGAAGACCCGGGUUCGAUUCCGGGCUGCUUAC